GGAGGGAUGGCUGAGCGGUUGAUAGCGGCAGUCUUGAAAACUGUUGACGGUGUAAGCCGUCCGGGGGUUCAAAUCCCUCUCCCUCCGCCA
rnacentral:tRNA from 1 species